rnacentral:hammerhead_ribozyme from 1 species
AUCCAGCUGACGAGUCUCAAACAGGACGAAAUGCGCUUUAUCCUGGAU